rnacentral:misc_RNA from 1 species
CAUUAUUGAAUUUUGAAAGAGGUUGUAGCUGAUCAAAAACAAGAUAUGUGCACACCUCAUUUCCAAAUUUUACACCAUGUGCACUCUUUGUAGGCCGACUUUUGUUUGGUCUAUGUCUUUUUAAAUAAACCCAAAAGUUUCAGAAUGUUAAAUCAUAAGCUUGUUUUGCAAGCUGAAAAAAUUAAUACAACUUUCAACAACGGAUCUCUUGGCUCUCGCAUCGAUGAAGAACGCAGCGAAAUGCGAUAAGUAAUGUGAAUUGCAGAAUUCAGUGAAUCAUCGAAUCUUUGAACGCACCUUGCGCUCCUUGGUAUUCCGAGGAGCAUGCCUGUUUGAGUGUCAUUAAAUUCUCAAUCCUCUUCAAACUUGCUUUGUAGAGGCUUUGGACUUGGAGUGUUGCUGGCCUUGUGUCGGCUCCUCUUAAAUGUAUUAGCUUGGAUCAUUUUGCAGAUAAGCUUUAGUUUGAUAAAUAUCUAUGCUAAUUGCUUUUGAAACAAAUUGCCAGCUUCCAAUUGUUGUUGUUUAUAACAACUCUCUUUGAUAUUUUGACCUCAAAUCAGGUAGGACUACCCGCUGAACUUAAGCAUAU